AGCGAACGCUGGCGGCAGGCUUAACACAUGCAAGUCGAGCGGGCACUUCGGUGUCAGCGGCAGACGGGUGAGUAACACGUGGGAACGUACCCUUUGGUUCGGAAUAACGCUGGGAAACUAGCGCUAAUACCGGAUACGCCCUUUUGGGGAAAGGCUUGCUGCCGAAGGAUCGGCCCGCGUCUGAUUAGCUAGUUGGUGGGGUAAUGGCCUACCAAGGCGACGAUCAGUAGCUGGUCUGAGAGGAUGAUCAACCACACUGGGACUGAGACACGGCCCAGACUCCUACGGGAGGCAGCAGUGGGGAAUAUUGGACAAUGGGCGCAAGCCUGAUCCAGCCAUGCCGCGUGAGUGAUGAAGGCCUUAGGGUUGUAAAGCUCUUUUGUCCGGGACGAUAAUGACGGUACCGGAAGAAUAAGCCCCGGCUAACUUCGUG
rnacentral:rRNA from 1 species